rnacentral:rRNA from 1 species
AUACGUAGGUGGCGAGCGUUGUCCGGAAUUACUGGGUGUAAAGGGUGCGUAGGCGGGAAUGCAAGUUGAAUGUUAAACUAUGGGCUUAACCCAUAUCUGCGUUCAAAACUGUAUUUCUUGAGUGAAGUAGAGGUAGGCGGAAUUCCUAGUGUAGCGGUGAAAUGCGUAAAUAUUAGGAGGAACACCAGUGGCGAAGGCGGCCUACUGGGCUUUAACUGACGCUGAGGCUCGAAAGCGUGGGUAGC